rnacentral:ncRNA from 1 species
UUAAAUGCUUUGAUAGGGAAGAGUAAAUUUUUCUGACAGUUAAAAGAGAAUUGUGCCGGCGGCUGAAAGCACAUAACUGAACAGCAAAUUGAAAACCACCCUGGAGCAGAUAGGAGGAAUAAAGUAUUUCUAUCCGGCUAAACCGUUAUCCUGUUAAGUGAAUAAUAAUUUUAUUUAUUCUAGAUUUCAUUUUAGAAUUUAUAUAAUUAUUAUUAACUAGAGUGGAACCGCGCAAUCCGUCGUCUCUAAU